rnacentral:rRNA from 1 species
UGGUGGGUUGCCUUGUCAGGUUGAUUCCGGUAACGAACGAGACCUCAGCCUGCUAAAUAGUCAAAUCUGCCUUUUGCAGGUUGCCGACUUCUUAGAGGGACUAUUGUCGUUUAGGCAAUGGAAGUAUGAGGCAAUAACA